GACGAACGCUGGCGGCGUGCUUAACACAUGCCAGUCGAACGGGAAGGCCCUGCUUUUGUGGGGUGCUCGAGUGGCGAACGGGUGAGUAACACGUGAGUAACCUGCCCUUGACUUUGGGAUAACUUCAGGAAACUGGGGCUAAUACCGGAUAGGAGCUCCUGCUGCAUGGUGGGGGUUGGAAAGUUUCGGCGGUUGGGGAUGGACUCGCGGCUUAUCAGCUUGUUGGUGGGGUAGUGGCUUACCAAGGCUUUGACGGGUAGCCGGCCUGAGAGGGUGACCGGCCACAUUGGGACUGAGAUACGGCCCAGACUCCUACGGGAGGCAGCAGUGGGGAAUAUUGCACAAUGGGCGGAAGCCUGAUGCAGCAACGCCGCGUGCGGGAUGACGGCCUUCGGGUUGUAAACCGCUUUCGCCUGUGACGAAGCGUGAGUGACGGUAAUGGGUAAAGAAGCACCGGCUAACUACGUG
rnacentral:rRNA from 1 species